rnacentral:rRNA from 1 species
GAUGAACGCUGGCGGCGUGCCUAAUACAUGCAAGUCGAACGCUGAAGGAGGAGCUUGCUCUUCUGGAUGAGUUGCGAACGGGUGAGUAACGCGUAGGUAACCUGCCUGGUAGCGGGGGAUAACUAUUGGAAACGAUAGCUAAUACCGCAUGACAACAGUUAUUGCAUGAUAACUGUUUAAAAGGGGCAACUGCUCCACUACCAGAUGGACCUGCGUUGUAUUAGCUAGUUGGUGAGGUAACGGCUCACCAAGGCGACGAUACAUAGCCGACCUGAGAGGGUGAUCGGCCACACUGGGGCUGAGACACGGCCCAGACUCCUACGGGAGGCAGCAGUAGGGAAUCUUCGGCAAUGGACGGAAGUCUGACCGAGCAACGCCGCGUGAGUGAAGAAGGGUUUCGGAUCGUAAAGCUCUGUUGUAAGAGAAGAACGAGUGUGAGAGUGGAAAGUUCACACUGUGACGGUAUCUUACCAGAAAGGGACGGCUAACUACGUG